ensembl:lncRNA
GGUGGGAUUGAGAAGCAUCCGGCAGCUCCAGGGACGAGCCCUCGGGCGAGGCGGUGGCCACGUCCCCCCACCCUUUGGGGGGCUCGGGGACCUCCCCGGGGGGCUGUGACAGCGACCCCUGUGAUGGGGGACACGGGAGGGCAGCCGGGGGCUCGUGGGACAGGGUCACCUCAGCUGCCAGCACCACGGGGGACACGGGCUGGGGGCUCGGGGUCACCGGGGCACUGGCCAUGGUGGCCACCGGGCUGGGGGUCACUGGGGUCACCGGGGCACUGGCCGUGGUGGCCACCGGGCUGGGGGUCACCAGGUCAGUGGCUGCAUCAUCCGGCGGGGUUGGUGUCACCGGUGUCAGUGGCUCGGUGUCCCCGGUGUCCAUCAGGCUGCAGGUCACUGGUGUCACUGGGGCAGUGGCUGCAGUGUCCAUCUCAUCCAGCGGGGUUGGUGUCACCGGUGUCACCAGGUUGGUGGCCACAGUGUCCAUCAGGGUGGUUGUCACUGAUGUCAGCACGUCAGUGACCACAGCAUCCUUCAGGGUGGAUGUCACCGGUGUCACCAGGGCAGCGUCCACAGUGUCCAUCUUGUCCAGCAGGCUGGGAGUCACUGGUGUCACCGGGUCAGUGGCUGCAGUGUCCAUCUCAUCUGGUGGGCUUGCUGUCACUCGUGUCACCGGGUCAGUGGCCGCAGUGUCCGGCGGGGUUGGUGUCACCAAGUUGGUGGCCACUGUGUUCAGCUCAUCUGGGGGGCUCGUUGUCAGCAGGUCAGUGUCCACAGCGUCCAUCUCAUCCAGGGGGGUCGGUGUCACCGGUGUCACCAGGUCGGUGGCCGUGCUGUCCAUCAGGUCAGGCGUCACUGGUGUCAACCCUGCAGUGCCUGCAGCGUCCGGCUCAUCCAGUGGGGUUGGUGUCACCAUGUCAGUGGCCACAGUGUCCAGCUCAUCCAACGGGCUGGGUGUCACCAGUGUCACCAGCUCAGUGGCCGCAGUGUCCGGUGGGCUGGGUGCCACUGGGCCGGUGGCCGUGCUGUCCAUCAGGCUGGGUGUCACCAGCGUCCCCAGAUCAGUGUCCGGCUCAUCCAGAGGGGUCGGUGUCACCGGUGUCACCAUGGCAGUGGCCAUAGUGUCUGGCUCACCGGGCGGGCUGGGUGUCACCGGGCUGGUGGCCACAGUGUCCAUCUCAUCCAGGAGGAUUGGUGCCACACCAAUGGUGUCACCUGGUGUCACCAGGUCAGCGCCCACGGUGUCCAUCAGGCUGGGGGUCACCGGUGUCUCCAGGUCAGCGCCCACGGUGUCCAUCAGGCUGGGGGUCACCGGUGUCUCCAGGUCAGUGCCCACGGUGUCCAUCAGGCUGGGGGUCACCGGUGUCUCCAGGUCAGUGCCCACGGUGUCCAUCAGGCUGGGGGUCACCGGUGUCUCCAGGUCAGUGUCCAGCCCAGGUGUCGCUGAUGUCCCCAGGUCAGUCUCCGCAGUGUCCACCAGGCCGGGUGUCACUGGUGUCACCUCCUCAGUGGCCGCAGUGUCCGUCUCAUCCCGGGGGAUCGGUGUCACCGACGUCCCCAGGCUGGUGGCCGCGGUGUCCGGCUCACUGUGGCCAUCAGUGCUCCCUGCUCUCCCUGUGCCGAGCUUGAGGUCACUGUCACCAUCGCUGUCACCCCCAGGGCUGUCCCGGGGCUCCCCGUUGGCCCCCCUCAGCCGGAGGCUCUGGGGGUCCCUGGCGCAGGGCCCGGGGCUCUGGGGGACACCGACUGUCACCGCUGGCUCCGUGCAAGGUCCCUGUCCCGGCGAUGCCGCUCCAGAACUUUCUGCCACCUCCUGGGGGGGCUCCAGGGGGGACCACGCCUCCACCGUGGGGACAAAGGCGUGGCCGUCCUGC